GUAGGUGGCAAGCGUUGUCCGGAAUUAUUGGGCGUAAAGCGCGCGCAGGCGGUUCUUUAAGUCUGAUGUGAAAGCCCACGGGCUCAACCGCGGAGGGUCAUUGGAAACUGGAGAACUUGAGUACAGAAGAGGAAAGCGGAAUUCCACGUGUAGCGGUGAAAUGCGUAGAGAUGUGGAGGAACACCAGUGGCGAAGGCGGCUUUCUGGUCUGUAACUGACGCUGAGGCGCGAAAGCGUGGGGAGCAAACAGGAUUAGAUACCCUGGUAGUCCACGCCGUAAACGAUGCGUGCUAAGUGUUAGGGGGUUUCCGCCCCUUAGUGCUGCAGCUAACGCAUUAAGCACUCCGCCUGGGGAGUACGACCGCAAGGUUG
rnacentral:rRNA from 1 species